UCGGAUGUGGUGCACGGAGCACGUCAGCGUCAAAUAACUCCGUACACAAAGUUGUACUGAGCUGAAGUCCGGGGUUCGACUCCCCGUGUCCGAA